UGACAACCUACUUGGAUAACUGUGGUAAUUCUAGAGCUAAAACAUGCACCAAAGCUCCGAUCCUCGCGGAGAGGAGCGCAUUUGUUCGCCACAAAACCAAGCGCCCAUCUGGGCGUCCAGUGCUGAACCAGAACAACUCAGCUGAUCGCACGGUCUUGUACCGGCGACGUGUCUUUCAAGUGUCUAUCAACUUUCGAUGGUAGUGUACCUGACUACCAUGGUUGUGACGGGUAACGGAGGAUAAGGGUUCGACUCCGGAGAAGGGGCCUGAGAAAUGGCCACUACGUCUAAGGAUGGCAGCAGGCGCGCAAAUUACCCACUCUCAACGCGAGGAGGUAGUGACGAGAAAUAACGAGACCGUUCUCAUACGAGGCCGGUUAUUGGAAUGGGUACAAUUUAAA
rnacentral:rRNA from 1 species